UUGUACAUAUGAAUAUCUUGAAGAACCAAAAUGUCAGUUCUACAAUGACAGGUCAGGGUUAGACUAUGCAGACUGGAUUAAAUAUUAUAACAAAACACCAUCAGAGGAUACAGGACCUGAAAGUGCCAUAGGUGGCAAAUACUACAUGUAUAUUGAGGCGUCUACUAUGAAUUUAGGACAAAAUGCACGUCUCAUUUCCAGUUUGCUAUCUACAGACACACAGCUAUGUUUGUCUUUCUACUACCACAUGUUUGGGGACAGCAUCGGAGAAUUGCAGGUGAUAAUCAAUACUUCAGGAUCAAAUCGGAUCAUCUUUAGAAAGUCAAAUAGCCAAGGAAAUUACUGGCAUUACAAGGAGCUGUUUUUGCAACCAGCAAAUCAA